CCUACGGGCGGCUGCAUUGGGGAAUAUUGGACAAUGGGGGGAACCCUGAUCCAGCCAUGCCGCGUGUGUGAAGAAGGCCCUCGGGUUGUAAAGCACUUUCAGUGAGGAAGAACGCCUGGUGGUUAAUACCCAUCAGGAAAGACAUCACUCACAGAAGAAGCACCGGCUAACUCCGUGCCAGCAGCCGCGGUAAUACGGAGGGUGCGAGCGUUAAUCGGAAUUACUGGGCGUAAAGCGCGCGUAGGUGGCUUGAUAAGCCGGUUGUGAAAGCCCCGGGCUCAACCUGGGAACGGCAUCCGGAACUGUCAAGCUAGAGUGCAGGAGAGGAAGGUAGAAUUCCCGGUGUAGCGGUGAAAUGCGUAGAGAUCGGGAGGAAUACCAGUGGCGAAGGCGGCCUUCUGGACUGACACUGACACUGAGGUGCGAAAGCGUGGGUAGCAAACAGGAUUAGAUACCCUAGUAGUC
rnacentral:rRNA from 1 species